GUCGGGCGGGUGCUACCAUGCAAGUCGAGCGAAGCGAUUUUGAGGAAGUUUUCGGAUGGAAUCGAAAUUGACUUAGCGGCGGACGGGUGAGUAACACGUGGGUAAUCUGCCUUAUACAGGGGGAUAACAGUUAGAAAUGACUGCUAAUACCGCAUAAGCGCACGGGGACGCAUGUUUCUGUGUGAAAAACUCCGGUAGUAUAAGAUGAGCCCGCGUCUGAUUAGCUGGUUGGUGGGGUAACGGCCUACCAAGGCGACGAUCAGUAGCCGGCCUGAGAGGGUGAACGGCCACAUUGGGACUGAGACACGGCCCAAACUCCCACGGGAGGCAGCAGUGGGGAAUAUUGCACAAUGGGGGAAACCCUGAUGCAGCAACGCCGCGUGAGUGAAGAAGGUUUUCGGAUUGUAAAGCUCUGUUAGCAGGGAAGAGGAAGGACGGUACCUGCAGAGGAAGCCACGGCUAACUACGUGCCAGCAGCCGCGGUAAUACGUAGGUGGCAAGCGUUGUUCGGAAUAACUGGGCGUAAAGGAUGCGUAGGCGGUUAAACAAGUUAUAUGUUAAAUAUAUAGGCUUAACCUGUAGAAAGCAUAUAAAACUGUUUAACUAGAGUGCAGGAGAGGUAAGUGGAAUUCCUAGUGUAGCGGUGAAAUGCGUAGAUAUCUGAAUGA
rnacentral:rRNA from 1 species